GAUGAACGCUGGCGGCGUGCCUAAUACAUGCAAGUCGAGCGAACGGACGAGAAGCUUGCUUCUCUGAUGUUAUCGGCGGACGGGUGAGUAACACGUGGAUAACCUACCUAUAAGACUGGGAUAACUUCGGGAAACCGGAACUAAUACCGGAUAAUAUUUUGAACCGCAUGGUUCAAAAGUGAAAGACGGUCUUGCUGUCACUUAUAGAUGGAUCCGCGCUGCAUUAGCUAGUUGGUAAGGUAACGGCUUACCAAGGCAACGAUGCAUAGCCGACCUGAGAGGGUGAUCGGCCACACUGGAACUGAGACACGGUCCAGACUCCUACGGGAGGCAGCAGUAGGGAAUCUUCCGCAAUGGGCGAAAGCCUGACGGAGCAACGCCGCGUGAGUGAUGAAGGUCUUCGGAUCGUAAAACUCUGUUAUUAGGGAAGAACAUAUGUGUAAGUAACUGUGCACAUCUUGACGGUACCUAAUCAGAAAGCCACGGCUAACUACGUG
rnacentral:rRNA from 1 species